AUGAACGCUGGCGGCGUGCCUAAUACAUGCAAGUCGAGCGAACAGAUAAGGGGCUUGCUCCUUUGACGUUAGCGGCGGACGGGUGAGUAACACGUGGAUAACCUACCUAUAAGACUGGGAUAACUUCGGGAAACCGGAGCUAAUACCGGAUAACAUAUUGAACCGCAUGGUUCAAUAGUGAAAGGCGGCUUUGCUGUCACUUAUAGAUGGAUCCGCGCCGUAUUAGCUAGUUGGUAAGGUAACGGCUUACCAAGGCAACGAUACGUAGCCGACCUGAGAGGGUGAUCGGCCACACUGGAACUGAGACACGGUCCAGACUCCUACGGGAGGCAGCAGUAGGGAAUCUUCCGCAAUGGGCGAAAGCCUGACGGAGCAACGCCGCGUGAGUGAUGAAGGUCUUCGGAUCGUAAAACUCUGUUAUCAGGGAAGAACAAAUGUGUAAGUAACUGUGCACAUCUUGACGGUACCUGAUCAGAAAGCCACGGCUAACUACGUG
rnacentral:rRNA from 1 species